GGGUUGUGAGGUUAAGCGACUAAGCGUACACGGUGGAUGCCCUGGCAGUCAGAGGCGAUGAAGGACGUGCUAAUCUGCGAUAAGCGCCGGUAAGGUGAUAUGAACCGUUAUAACCGGCGAUUUCCGAAUGGGGAAACCCAGUGUGACUCGUCACACUAUCAUUAACUGAAUCCAUAGGUUAAUGAGGCGAACCGGGGGAACUGAAACAUCUAAGUACCCCGAGGAAAAGAAAUCAACCGAGAUUCCCCCAGUAGCGGCG
rnacentral:rRNA from 1 species